GGGUUUCGUUUAAGUGGAAAUGUACAUGUCAGUUGCUGUUUCGACUCUAUCUGAAAGACGAUUUAUUAGAUCAAAAACAACUUGAUCCAUACAUCUUUGGCUACUGAAUAGAUAGCAGGAAAACCUUUUCAACAAGUUUUAUCCAGUUCGGUGGAAGCUGUGGUCGCGCAGAAGUGGAGACCUUCGCAAGAAAAAAAAAGGAAAAGAAAGAAAUUACUUUACCUGGACAAACAUGUCCUAAAUUAGUCAUCGACAAGCACCACGGACCAAAACAAGUAAAAGACUCAUCGACGACGGAUCUCCUUAUGGACACAAACCGACCAUGUAAUCGUAUUUCCAUGUAAACGGGGUGUAUCAAGUUGCUCCAGCCCAGUCAAUGGAGCCAAACCGACGAGAUGAAAGCACCGGGGCCCUACUGGGGGUGGUAACAGACCGUCUCGGGUGAACGAGAAGGAGGCGGCGGCAGCCCGAAAGGUAUACUUCCUCACACCUUUGGUCUAUCCUGUUCAGACCUGAAGAAUAUAGCUGAAGAUGUACCGUCUU